AGCAGCCGCGGUAAUUCCAGCUCCAAUAGCGUAUAUUAAAGUUGUUGCAGUUAAAAAGCUCGUAGUUGAAUUUCGGGGUUAGUAGGUUGGUCAUGCCUCUGGUAUGUACUGGUCUCACUGAUUCCUCCUUCCUGAUGAGCCGUAAUGCCAUUAAUUUGGUGUUGCGGGGAAUUUGGACUGUUACUUUGAAAAAAUUAGAGUGUUUAAAGCAAGCUAACGCUUGAAUACAUUAGCAUGGAAUAAUGAAAUAGGACGUUCGAUUCUAUUUUGUUGGUUUCUAGGAUUGACGUAAUGAUUAAUAGGGAUAGUUGGGGGCAUUAGUAUUCAAUUGUCAGAGGUGAAAUUCUUGGAUUUAUUGAAGACUAACUACUGCGAAAGCAUUUGCCAAGGAUGUUUUCAUUAAUCAAGAACGAAAGUUAGGGGAUCGAAGACGAUCAGAUACCGUCGUAGUCUUAACCAUAAACUAUGCCGACUAGGGAUCGGAUGGUUGUUAAUUUUUAAUGACUCAUUCGGCGCCUUA
rnacentral:rRNA from 1 species